rnacentral:lncRNA from 1 species
UAGAUAUUUUUUAUGUUAUGAUCUAGGUUUUUUUUGGGGUAAAAAUGAUGCUGUACAUUUGAUUACUUUUACGGAGAUCUCUAAUUAGAUUUUGGAUUUUUUUUUGGAUUUAUGAGAUUUGUUCUGUUUGGAAUUGGCUUUAGAUAUUUUUUAUGUUAUGAUCUAGGUUUUUUUGGGUAAAAAUGAUGCUGUACAUUUACUUGCUCGCACGAGAAUGAUCUGUCUUGUUUUACGUUUUCCUGAUUUGUUUGAACUUUUUAUUUGUGAAUUAUGAUAUGCAUAUUUAUUUUUUUUCUAUUGGCGCGAUGCUAGAUCAAUGCUGGAUGCGUAACAUGCAUUUGAAUUUGAUAAGGGAAAAAAAUUAGUUAAUGAGAAAUACGCUGAAAUGUAGUAGUUAAGAAUUGUAAGUUUGUUCUAUGAGGAUUUGGAGAAAAAAAAUUAUUUUGUUUAUUGGAAUUAUGGAAAAAGCAGAUAAUAUGAUCAAAGGUUUUGAUGUUUCUACAGUUUUGGCAUGCCCAUGGCCCAUGGCAUUGAUAAGAAAAGGGACAAGAUUAAAAAUCUCUUCUCCUUAUCGGAUUGAACGAUUUUUUUUCAGAAAUUGGACAAAUGCAUUGGUUUUCCCUUGGUUUCUUUAUUCAAUUUUCAGUUCAAAUUUGACAGUCUUAAAAACUAUGAGAUAUGCACAAUUUAACGAGUUCUUUUGGUUUGUAUAUCUAUUUGAUGUGAUUUUUUCACUGAACAUAAUAAAGGAAGAAAGUUUUCUUUAUAAAAGCUGUUGAUUAUGAAGCAAAUACAUUCGCCUUGGUUUGGGACAUUUUCAAAAUUUAAUGUUAGCUGGGUGGGUGGACUAUUUCUACUACAAGAUUCAAAAAUUUGUUAUUAUGUUCAACAGCAUGGAAUUAAGGCCUUGAAGUCGGCAUUUGGAGAAAAUAUAUCUGAUUUUGAAAGAAGUCGAAGAUCUUGUAAUUCCAAUUUGGAUGCUCCUGUGCUACCUAGCAGUACCCAAUAGUUUACACUAGUUAUGCCUGAAACGAGUUUAUGCCCUGUUGUUGGAUUUGUUAUUUUACAUUUUGCAAUUAGAAAUCUGUAAGUUGACCAAGGCACAUAGUGAGUGUGAAUCUCAGACCAUCCUUAAGUUAUGCAAACAUUGUGAGAACACGUUAAACAGGGUAGUAGUUCUGUUGCCAUGAUCCCAUGGAUUAAUAGCAAGGACCCAAAAAAUUUGAGGAUGCCAG